rnacentral:misc_RNA from 1 species
UCUCCGUUGGUGAACCAGCGGAGGGAUCAUUGCUGGAAGCGUCUCACGACGCACCCAGAUACCCUUUGUGAACUUAUACCUAUCUGUUGCCUCGGCGCAGGCUGGGAGCUUUUGUAAACUCCCCCACGCGGACUCACCUCUGCGCGGAGCAGGCCCGCCGGCGGCCAAGUUAACUCUUGUUUUUACACUGAAACUCUGAGAAAAAACACAAAUGAAUCAAAACUUUCAACAACGGAUCUCUUGGUUCUGGCAUCGAUGAAGAACGCAGC